rnacentral:rRNA from 1 species
GAGGCACUACGGUGCUGAAGCAACAAAUGCCCUGCUUCCAGGAAAAGCCUCUAAGCAUCAGGUAACAUCAAAUCGUACCCCAAACCGACACAGGUGGUCAGGUAGAGAAUACCAAGGCGCUUGAGAGAACUCGGGUGAAGGAACUAGGCAAAAUGGUGCCGUAACUUCGGGAGAAGGCACGCUGAUAUGUAGGUGAAGUCCCUCGCGGAUGGAGCUGAAAUCAGUCGAAGAUACCAGCUGGCUGCAACUGUUUAUUAAAAACACAGCACUGUGCAAACACGAAAGUGGACGUAUACGGUGUGACGCCUGCCCGGUGC